rnacentral:rRNA from 1 species
AGAGUUUGAUCAUGGCUCAGGAUGAACGCUAGCUACAGGCUUAACACAUGCAAGUCGAGGGGAAACGACAUCGAAAGCUUGCUUUUGAUGGGCGUCGACCGGCGCACGGGUGAGUAACGCGUAUCCAACCUACCCUUGUCCAUCGGAUAACCCGUCGAAAGGCGGCCUAACACGAUAUGCGGUUCACAGCAGGCAUCUAACGUGAACGAAAUGUAAAGGAGAAGGAUGGGGAUGCGUCUGAUUAGCUUGUUGGCGGGGUAACGGCCACAAGGCUACGAUCAGUAGGGGUUCUGAGAGGAAGGUCCCCCANAUUGGAACUGAGACACGGUCCAAACUCCUACGGGAGCA